AAGAAAAUUCUUUAAAAAAAAACAUCCCUGAGGUCGACGGUAGGACCCCCUUCAGAUAUCUGAUGGUAUAACCCAACAUUCUUUUACGUUUGAAAACAGAAAGCCCAUGUUAUGAUGACCUUCAUGGCCUUCAAACCAUUGUUCUUUGAUGAUACUCGAGCCCUGGGAAUAGUAUAAACGGCGGCUACAUCAUACUUUACCGGAGAGGUUUUCAGUCUUGAAUGGUUUAAUUGUUCUCCAAACAGCGCACCUAUUGAAUACCCCGCAAGCAAACUGCAACAUGACAUCUAAUACAACAACGGCUUUAAAUGCCACAACUGGGGUACAGACGACACCGUUGCCCGUAACAACGCCAUCAAUAUCAUCUACAACUGAGAUGUCGGGAGGUAUCAGACCGCUAGAUGUCGCUGCUAUCGCGUGCGGCCUUUUCAUCUUUAUAACCCUGUGUGUGGUGACUGCACUGUCCAUGAAACGGAGACAGAAAGCCGCCAAGAAGCAGCGUUUUCUGGCGGCGUCACAGGCGAAGAUCAGAGAAGAGUCAACCGUACAGACAGCGGAAAGUACGGACACAAUUUCAACCAUUGACGAAGGUGGAUUGCCAUAGACCAUAGAGUUUUCAGUGUACAGCAUAGUUGGUUAUAUCUUUGGGCCAUGUUGAUUUCAUUAUAUGGAUGACAUCUUAUGGCUAAUCAAAAACGUUCUCCAAAGUUUUGCCAUUAAAAAGAAGUUGCCUUUGCUAUGAACUUCGAAGUGGUCAGAAGUUG